GCCUACGGGGGGCAGCAGUGGGGAAUUUUGCGCAAUGCUCGUAAGAGUGACGCAGCGACGCCGCGUGAGGGAAGACUGCCCUAUGGGUUGUAAACCUCUUUUGUCAGGGAGCAAUUGGCGCUACGUGUAGCGUUAUCGAGAGUACCUGAAGAAAAAGCAUCGGCUAACUCCGUGCCAGCAGCCGCGGUAAUACGGAGGAUGCGAGCGUUAUCCGGAUUUAUUGGGUUUAAAGGGUGCGUAGGCAGAAUGCCAAGUCAGCGGUAAAAUCGCGGGGCUCAACCUCGC
rnacentral:rRNA from 1 species